GUGAGUGUUCAGGUUUUAUUCAAUCAUAAAUGCUGGAUUUUUAUAUUGCUGCAACAAAUUUUUUUAUUCUGCAGCUGCGACAAAUCAAAUGAUGCAGCCUCAUCUGUAUGUCCAGACUGGGUUUUAGAAGCUAGUGGUUUGUGCAAUCAUUUUCUGUUUUGUUUAAUCUAGAUUGGCUACAUGGAUGUAGAAGAGCCCAGGUUCUGAGCACAGCCCUUUAAAGGUGUAAUAGUUAAAUUUUCAGGAUGUAGAACUAUACAAUACUAUUAAUUAAAGUAUUAAAACAAAGGCAACUAAACAGGGCAAAAGGAAAUGCAGUUUCAUACAGAGAAUGUAACUGCAAUAGAGAAAACUUACAGACAUAGAGCAUUCAAAUCAGAAAUGGAAUGGAUUUAUAACUAUCACUAAUAUUUCUCCACAUAUAUAUAAAAUUUUAUCACAGAUUUAUAACAGCCUGUGAAUAACAAGAUUAAGAAAAUAAUACCUUGAAAAGAAAUAAAUUCAAGCCUCCACUGAAAUACCAAGAAACUCUUCAGGAUAUGAUAACUGAAAAUGCAUUUUUCCUUCAGAAAAUGGGGAUAAAAUUAAGAAAAUGAAAGGAAGUUUUAUAGUAGAAUACAUUAGCCAGACUAGAAAGGUCAUUAGAAAUUUUUCAGAAACUAAAAAUGAAUUUUUACUUUAUCAGCAGUGGCCAGGAAAUUUUCCUGAUGUACUAGAAAAACAUCUGCAGAAACAAAUAUUUUAGGUAUACAAUAUGAUUUUUAAAAUUAAUUGUUGAACCCUAUUCCCAGGGAUGUGUGUGUGGGUGUGGUACAGUGGGAAGCAGAUUAAAAAGAGAAUCCUUUAUCCAUACAUAGCCCUGAUAACUAUGGCUAAAUGCAGGAUUUACAGCUGAACAUAUUGUUUGGUUUUGUUUUGGCAGCAAAUCCAGAUGAUGGUGUAUUAUGUUCAUCUUCUGAUAACUAGGAUUACCUAGCAUGCUGAGAUGAUCAUUCAGACAAAUCAAUUCUCAAUCUUCUCGAAAAGAGCACAUCAGGGGUCAAAAAAGCAAUCCUCCUUCUGGUCCUACAGUGAACUGCUGGCUCAGAACAGAGCUCAUUUCUCUGAAACAGCAAGCACUGACCACUGCCUGAGGCAGUCUUCUAGACGAGCUGAGGAAUGCAGAACCCAAGAAGUGAUUGGUGCAGUAAUGCAAAGAGGGGACCAGGCACAGAGCUUGGAUCUCCCAAAACUCAGCCACUUCAUUUGAAAUGAUAACAAGUCUGAGCUGGCUGAAGUGAGAAUUCAAAACAUUGGACAACCUUGCAAUGUUGGUAACUUGACUGCUAUGUUUUCCUAAUGGAGGAAUCACAUCAAAAGCACAUACACUCUACAAAUUCAACUGGAGCAGCAUGAUAGCAAACAGUAAGGUACUGUUUUGUGUUGCACUUGGCCAGAAAACUUUUCUUGAAAGCUACAGACAAUCCAUGGCUCAUUUCACCCACCCUGAGAAUGAAACAGACCCUGCACUGAGAGAACAUAAUACCAUGUUAGGAUGAAGAAGGACAUCCACUUGGUAAAACAGAAUUAACUAUUGACACUACUGAGUGACAAUCUUCUAGUCUGAAACUUAAAGCUAUUAAACAUGAAACCAUGGUAAAGUCU